CCAAUAUUUGGCGGGACAUAUGCAUACAAAUAGACUGGACUAGAUAUCCUUCGCGCACACGCCAUUACAGUCUUGAGACGUCAUUAUGUCACUUUUAUAUUCUUGGUAGAAAUAAAAUUUUGCUCGAUCGAGCUUCUUCCACCAGACGACUUUUUACCUGGUGAUGUCACGACCCGGAAGUCCCAUACCCGAGGUUUACUUGUCUGGAUGUGAUUUCCCAGCACAGAGAUCUUUCGUCCCAUGGUUGUGCCUUAACCGCCAAGACCCUGAUUUUUGUAGUCAACUGAGACAGCUCAGGGAUACAAACACCUAUAAACACCGGACAUGGGGAGCCAAAAAGGAGCCAACGCCUUCGCGAUAUAGUGGGACAUUAUUUUACAAAAGAUUAGUUCUUAGUGCUACUUUAAGUUUUAAGUAAUAGUAAACAUCUGUUAAAUCGUCACGAGGACAAACAACUGUAAUUAAUAGAAAUGGACAUCUUUUAGAAAUCGGAUUUUGAGUUCAGUUUUUUUUCUUCUUUCUUUUCUUCUAUUUAGUUUUUUUUUUCUUUAUUCAUUGUAAAUAAUCAUUUUUCUGUAAAUAAACUUGUAAAUAUUGU